rnacentral:rRNA from 1 species
UACGGGGGGGGCAAGCGUUGUUCGGAAUUACUGGGCGUAAAGGGCGCGUAGGUGGUUCUGUAUGUCUACCGUGAAAGCGUACGGCUCAACCGUAUUUUGUCGGUAGAAACUGCAGGACUUGAGGCUGGGAGGGGCUGGUGGAAUUCCCUGUGUAGCGGUGAAAUGCGUAGAGAUGGGGGAGAACACUCGUGGCGAAGGCGGCCAGCUAGACCAGUUCUGACACUGAGGCGCGACAGCGUGGGGAGCAAACAGG